UGCAGCGACGCCGCGUGAGCGAUGAAGGCCUUCGGGUUGUAAAGCUCUUUCGGCGGGGACGAUAAUGACGGUACCUGUAGAAGAAGCUGCGGCUAACUACGUGCCAGCAGCCGCGGUAAUACGUAGGGGGCAAGCGUUGUUCGGAAUUACUGGGCGUAAAGGGUGCGUAGGCGGUUUUCUAAGUUUGGUGUGAAAUCUCCCGGCUCAACUGGGAGGGUGCGCCGAAAACUGUGGGGCUUGAGUGUGGGAGAGGAAAGUGGAAUUCCUGGUGUAGCGGUGAAAUGCGUAUAUAUCAGGAGGAACACCUGUGGUGUAAACGGCUUUCUGGACCAUUACUGACGCUGAGGCACGAAAGCGUGGGUAGCAAACAGGAUUAGAUACCCUGGUAGUCCACGCCCUAAACGAUGCAUAUUUGGUGUGGGCC
rnacentral:rRNA from 1 species